GGAACCCACACGAAAUAGAGUUGAUGAGUUUUUAUUUUAAAAGAAAUAGUACUGAUAAUAUUGAUGUGAUUUAUAUGUUAUCUUCAUAUUAUUAAUCUAACUAAAGUCUUAACAUGAUACAACGAGUGAAGCAGUUGCAUUGUCAUAACUGAAACCGAAGUAUCACUAGAGAUGGACUGCGUGCAUCAGUUCACAAAAUGGAGUCUGAGGACGUUGUAGGUGUGUAUUCAAGAGGCUUAUCAUAUCGAAAAUCUUGGUAGUGUAUAAUACGUUUUAUGUUAUAGGAAUAUAUAAUCAUUACAGCUUCUCUCUAAUCUAACUGAGUUAACUUCUCUCUAAUCUAAUUGAGUUAGCUGUCAUUUUCGUCAUGUAGUUUGUCUAAAUAUAUCAGUUCAUGCCAAAUUUCAAAUUUGUAUUAUUUCUGUUUCUGACAUUCUUGAAACAUGUAAAUUUCAUCCAAAACAACAUGAGUUACUUGUCAUUUUCAUCCAUGUGGUUUGUCCAAUUAUUCGAUUUAACAUUAGUUUUUUGGACGGAACUGACAUGUUUCAAGAAUGUCAGGGACAAAAAUGGUACAAAUUUAAAAUUUGACCUGAAGUGACAUAAUUGGACAAACACAAGAACGAAAAUGACAAUUAACUCAAUCUAAUUAAUAGAAUCUUUAACCUUCUAUUCACUAAAGGUAGACAUCGAUUUAUAACUUAUUCUUAAUCUUAGUUAGUAUAGAUCACCAUUUUCAAUUACAAACAAGGGUAUGAAUGAAUAAUAUGGUUUUGCUUAUUUAAUAUUUCUUUUGUUGCUAAUCUAUGAUCUUAUUUUUAAUAUGGAAAGUGAUUAAAGAACUAGAGAUCACUUUUAAUCUAUGAUCUUAUUUUUAGAAGUAACUUUAUAAUAAGGAUAUGAUUCAAUAUAUAUAACUGGAAAAACCAAUAUAUACCCGUCAUAGGCAACAUGAUCGCACCGUAGUCACAACGUGGCCCGAGCGGCCUAGACAUCGUGUGGAACAUUAUUUUAGACAUUAUGUUAAGUCUGAAACUUAUAAAUUUAAGUGAUUGGAACAUGAUUUAGAAACGUUACCAUUUGACCAUAUAAACCAAAAGGAGAUUUUUAUUUGUCCAUGCAGUGGCGGAUCUAGGAUUCCGACCAAGCGGGAACGUUUUAUAAAUAGGCGGUAACGAAAUCGAAAAAACGUCAAAUUUUUCCAAAAUUUACACUAAAAACGUCAAAAAUUUUCCGACCAAGCGGUAGCGGAGGCUACCCCUUGGUCCUCUAUAGAUCCGCCCCUGU